GACGUAGGGCGCGAGCGUUUGUCCGGAUUUAUUGGGCGUAAAGAGCUCGUGGGCGGCUUGUCGCGUCGAAUGUGAAAACCCACGGCUCAACUGUGGGCUUGCAUUCGAUACGGGCAGGCUAGAGUUCGGUAGGGGAGACUGGAAUUCCUGGUGUAGCGGUGAAAUGCGCAGAUAUCAGGAGGAACACCGGUGGCGAAGGCGGGUCUCUGGACCGGUACUGACGCUGAUGCGCGAAAGCGUGGGGAGCAAACGGG
rnacentral:rRNA from 1 species